AUUGAACGCUGGCGGCAGGCCUAACACAUGCAAGUCGAGCGGAUGAAGGGAGCUUGCUCCUGGAUUCAGCGGCGGACGGGUGAGUAAUGCCUAGGAAUCUGCCUGGUAGUGGGGGAUAACGUCCGGAAACGGGCGCUAAUACCGCAUACGUCCUGAGGGAGAAAGUGGGGGAUCUUCGGACCUCACGCUAUCAGAUGAGCCUAGGUCGGAUUAGCUAGUUGGUGGGGUAAAGGCCUACCAAGGCGACGAUCCGUAACUGGUCUGAGAGGAUGAUCAGCCACACUGGAACUGAGACACGGUCCAGGCUCCUACGGGAGGCAGCAGUGGGGAAUAUUGGACAAUGGGCGAAAGCCUGAUCCAGCCAUGCCGCGUGUGUGAAGAAGGUCUUCGGAUUGUAAAGCACUUUAAGUUGGGAGGAAGGGCAGUAAGUUAAUACCUUACUGUUUUGACGUUACCAACAGAAUAAGCACCGGCUAACUUCGUG
rnacentral:rRNA from 1 species